rnacentral:ncRNA from 1 species
GGCCGGAUAAGGCGUUAUACGCCGCAUCCGGCAAUCAAUGCCUGAUGCGACGCUGUCGCGUCUUAUCAGGCC